rfam:Fukomys damarensis contig130170, whole genome shotgun sequence.
GGAUGUGAGGGUGAUCUGGCUGCGACAUGUGUCACCCCACUGAUCGCCAGGGUUGAUUCGGCUGAUGCGGCUGGCUAGGCAGGUGUCCCCUUCCUCUCCGCUCCAUGUGCAUCCCUCUCGAAGCUGCGCGCUGGUGGAAGAGGACGACCACCCCGAUAGAGGAGGGUAUAGGAGUAGGUGUGCUCCCCUGCUAGAACCUCCAAACAAGCUCUCAAGAAAGUGAAAAGAGGGUCAGGGAUUUAGCUCAGUGGUUCCAC